UACAGAGGGGGCUAGCGUUGUUCGGAAUUACUGGGCGUAAAGGGCGCGUAGGUGGCCUGUUAAGUCGAACGUGAAAUCCCCGGGCUCAACCCGGGAACUGCGUCCGAGACUGGCAGGCUCGAAUCCGGGAGAGGGAUGUGGAAUUCCAGGUGUAGAGGUGAAAUGCGUAGAUAUCUGGAGGAACACCGGUGGCGAAGGCGGCAUCCUGGACCGGUAUUGACGCUGAGGCGCGAAAGCCAGGGGAGCAAACGGG
rnacentral:rRNA from 1 species